CAAUAGUGAAUGUUUUUGUCAUAUAGUUGCAUUUUCUUUGCUUUUCCCUCUAUUUUUAAGACACAGCGAGGCUAGGUUGAGGUAUGAGGGCUACUCGGAAAAAGAGAUCUGCCAAGAAGAAAGAUGGCAGGACCAGCAAAGCGGAGAAAGAAAGGCUACAGAAAGAGGAAGAGGAGCGGAGGAGGAAGGAGGAAGAGGAGGCUCUUCUCAUCGCUGAGCAGGAGAGGCUGGAGAGAGAGCAGAGAGAAGAAGAGGAAAGACAGAGGCAUGAGUUAAAGGUUAGAUCAAUCUUAAGGUAAAAUUACAAGAUAGUAGGACUCCAAACGUCUACAUAUACUAAACAGGUGAGAAAUCUUAGAACACACCUGAUUUUUACCUUUAUUUUUGCCAUUUAACCCGUUUAAACCCUG
rnacentral:lncRNA from 1 species